AUACUAUACAGUUAAUCCGUCGUAGAGCACGCAGAUUGUUGAACUAAAGUCACAAACUCCUGAAGACCAAGAUAAACAACUAAUUGGGCCAAAAUGAAGGGGAUUUAUUUAGUAGCGUUUCUAUUGGUUGUGGAGAUGAAUUUUAGGGCAGGAGAUGGAAGCAUAGUAUGUUGCCCAAAAACUAAUUGCCAUUAUCACUGUGACUGUUGCUACGGGAGUCAUGGUUCGGCUUUCAUUAGACGAGACAACCAGAAGAAGACCAUGGCCAGUCGACAACCCGAUCUUUGGUCAUUCCUCCAAGGACAAACCUCAUUGCAAAAGGACAGUUCAAACUAACAGAAAACAGGAAGAGUAAACUAAGUAAACAAAGAACGUUUAAGGAAAGGAAAGUGUACCGAUAAAAAAAUAAAAUAAAAUACACUAUUCCAAGGACAAACCUAAUUGCUAAAGAGCAGUUCAAACUAUAUAGCAGAAAAUAGGAAGAGUGAAUUAAGUAAAGAAAGAACGAUUUCCUGUUCUUUCCUUAACAGGAAAGGACAGUGUUCCAAUAAAAAAGACAAGAAAAUAAACUACGAACUUGUGUAAUUAGGAUGAAAAAUUCGAAUGAAUUAAAUUACAAUUAAA